ACUGAACGCUGGCGGCAGGCCUAACCCAUGCAAGUCGAGCGGAGCGGCGGACGGGUGUGUAAUGCAUGGGAAUCUGCCUGGUCGUGGGUGAUAACGUCCGGACACGGGCGUCACUACCGAAUACUGUCAGUAGCGUCUAGUGCGGAUUAGCUAGUUGGUGGGGUAAAGGCCUACCAAGGCGACGAUCCGUAACUGGUCUGAGAGGAUCAUCAGUCACACUGGGACUGAGACACGGUCCAGACUCCUACGGGAGGCAGCAGUGGGGAAUAUUGGACAAUGGGCGAAAGCCUGAUCCAGCCAUGCCGCGUGUGUGGAGAAGGUCUUCGGAUUGUAAAGCACUUUAAGUUGGGAGGCGUUACCAACAGAAUAAGCACCGGCUAACUUCGUGCCAGCAGCCGCGGUAAUUC
rnacentral:rRNA from 1 species